rnacentral:ncRNA from 1 species
ACAUCCAAGGAAGGCAGCAGGCGCGCGAAUUACCCACUCCCGGCACGGGGAGGUAGUGACGAAAAAUAACGAUACGGGACUCAUCCGAGGCCCCGUAAUCGGAAUGAGUACACUUUAAAUCUUUUAACGAGGAUCCAUUGGAGGGCAAGUCUGGUGCCAGCAGUCGCGGUAAUUCCAGCUCCAAUAGCGUAUAUUAAAGAUGUUGCGGUUAAAAAGCUCGUAUUUGUAUCUGUGCCGCGCACCGUCAGUUCACCGCUCGCGGUGUUUAACUGGCGUGAUGUGGGCCGUCCUACCGGUGGGCUUAGCCUCGCGAGAAGCGGCCCAACUAAUAUCCUGUCGCGGUGCUCUUUACUGAGUGUCGAGUCGGAGCUGUACGUUUACAUUGACCAAAUUAGAGUUCUUAAAGCAGGCUAUUCUCACCUGAAUACUGCGUGCAUGGAAUAAUGCAAUAGGACCUCGGUUCUAUUUUGUUGGUUUUCGGAACCCCGAGGUAAUGAUUAAUAGGGACAGAUAGAGGCAUUCGUAUUGCGAAGUUAGAGGUGAAAUUCUUGGAUCGUCGCAAGACGGACUGAAUCGAAAGCAUUUACCAAAAAUGUUUUCAUUAAUCAAGUACGAAAGUUAUAGAUUCGAAGGCGAUCAGAUACCGCCCUAGUUCUAACCAUAAACGAUGCCAGCUAGCGAUCCGCUGAAGUUCCUCCAAUGACUCGGCGGGCAACUUUCGGGAAACCAAAGAUUUUGGAUUCCGGGGGAAGUAUGGUUGCAAAGCUGAAGCUUAAAGGAAUUGACGGAAGGACACCAAUAGGAGUGGAGCCUGCUUAAUAUGACUCAACACGGGAAACCUCACCAGGCCCAGACACCGGAAGGAUUGACAGAUUGAUAUCUCCUUCUUGAUUCGGUGGGUGGUGGUGCAUGGCCGGUCUUAGUUGGUGGAGCGAUUUGUCUGGUUAAUUCCGAUAACGAACGAGACUCUAGCCUGCUAAAUAGGCGUACCUUAUGGUAUCUUGAAG